GCAGAGUUCAUAUCCUGCAGGCAGACAAGCAAAUAAGGCACGUGAAAUCAUACCCCAUAAUCUAGGUGCCAUCCAAAAAGUAUGUGUUUUGGUCUCGUGCAAGUGAAAGCUCACGUUGGAGGAAUAUGAAGAAGACCGAGGAGGAGGAGGAGGGGUCUGUGGAGAGGGGACGACGGGACAGCUGGACCGUGUGUAAUGUGUCAGUUUGCUUCUGUGCCACUAUUGUGCUGCUGAUGUUGGAAUGCAGGAAAGGCGCUAGUAUAUUGAAUAAGGAGCCAUGUAAAUUCCAGCUGUCAACAUGUGAUCACUCCUUCGGACAAAGAGAGAGCUUUUCUUGGAGCGGACAGGGAUGGAGAAGAAAGCAGUCAUUGUGGGGAUGUGGAGCCGCAAGAGAGAGAGGCUGCUUUAUUCAGGAGAAAUUCAGAGGUCAGUUAAAAAUUGUUAUUAUGGGGGGCCGGCCCAGUGGCCGAGUGGUUAAGUUCGCGUGCUCUGCUUCGGCGGCCCAGGGUUUUGUUGGUUCAGAUCUUGGGUGUGGACAGGGCACUGCUCAUCAAGCCAUGUUGAGGUGGCGUCCCAUGUAG
rnacentral:lncRNA from 1 species